UCGGUGCCGCAGCUAACGCAUUAAGUACUCCGCCUGGGAAGUACGCUCGCAAGAGUGAAACCCAAAGGAAUUGACGGGGACCCGCCCAAGUAGCGGAGCAUGUGGUUUCAUUCGACGCAACGCGAAGAACCUUACCUAAGCUUGACAUCCCAAUGACAUCUCCUUAAUCGGAGAGUUCCCUUCGGGGACAUUGGUGACAGGUGGUGCAUGGUU
rnacentral:rRNA from 1 species